UAUAAGAAGGAAGGCAAUCUGGUAAAUGAGAAAGGGUCACAGCCAGAGGCCUGGAAGUAGAGCCAGGUCUGGCAGUACCAGAGUGGGGCGCCAUUGAGCUGGAGUCUACCCAGGAUUCAGAAGGCACAGAAGGCUGGAGGGAAAUGGAAGUAUAAUAACAGACUUGUGUUAAAAGAAGUCCAAAAAUCUGUGCUAAAGGCAAAAGAAUUCCAAGCCUUGACG
rnacentral:lncRNA from 1 species